rnacentral:rRNA from 1 species
GACGAACGCUGGCGGCGUGCCUAAUACAUGCAAGUCGAGCGGAGCGGCGGAUGGGUGAAUAGCGCGUGGGUAACCUGCCCUUAAGUCUGGGAUAGCAUUUGGAAACAGAUGCUAAUACCGGAUACUUAAGGAUGGGGCUGGGAUGCAUUAGCUAGUUGGUAAGGUAACGGCUUACCAAGGCGAGGAUGCAUAGCCGGGUUGAGAGGAUGAUCGGCCACACUGGGACUGAGACACGGCCCAAACUCCUACGGGAGGCAGCAGUAGGGAAUCUUCCACAAUGGACGAAAGUCUGAUGGAGCAACGCCGCGUGAGUGAAGAAGGUCUUCGGAUCGUAAAGCUCUGUUGUUGGUGAAGCGGUAAUCAACCAGAAAGUCACGGCUAACUACGUGCCAGCAGCCGCGGUAAUAC